rnacentral:lncRNA from 1 species
GCACUAAACAGCAAAAAAAACAGAAUCUACCACUAAGUAAUUAAAUAAGAAUCUAGCUACCACUAAAUACCAAACAAUAAAAAAUCAACUUCUUCUUCUUUUUUCUCUUCUUCUGCUUCUUAUUUUUUUCUUAUUCUCUUCUUCUCUUCUUCUUUACUUCUUCUCCUUCUUAUUUUUUCUUCUCUUCUUCUUCUUCUUCUUCUUAUUCUUCUUCUUCUUCUUCUUCUUCUCCUUCUUAUUUUUUUCUUCUCCUCUUCUUCUUCUUCUUUUUUUUCUUCU